UACGUAGGGUGCAAGCGUUAUUCGGAAUUACUGGGCGUAAAGCGUGCGCAGGCGGCGAUGUAAGACAGUUGUGAAAUCCCCGGGCUCAACCUGGGAACUGCAUCUGUGACUGCAUCGCUGGAGUGCGGCAGAGGGGGAUGGAAUUCCGCGUGUAGCAGUGAAAUGCGUAGAUAUGCGGAGGAACACCGAUGGCGAAGGCAAUCCCCUGGGCCUGCACUGACGCUCAUGCACGAAAGCGUGGGGAGCAAACAGG
rnacentral:rRNA from 1 species